rnacentral:misc_RNA from 1 species
CCCACUUUUCCACUAGUGUGGUAUUGGAAGAGGAUGGAAGUGUGGAAGGAUUGGCAGGUGGAGAUGAGUCAAACUGAGUUGCUUGGAGCAAGGCUAUGAGGCUUUGACACUGUUCCUGAGUCAAAGAAAUUCCAGAACUGUUGAGAUUUACUUUGGCAGAAGCAGCAGGAUCUGAUUGCAGAGAAUUAAAAAAAAUCAUCUGAUCUUGCGAUCUGAUUCGCAGCAGCAGGAUAGAUUCUCUGUUUAUACCCACAAGGAAACCCAUGCUUUUUGUAACAUGUUUCAACAGUUU